rnacentral:lncRNA from 1 species
UUAUAGUUCUCAUGCCCCCUGUUUUAUGUUUUCUUUCAGAGCCUUCCACUUCGGGAGGGGCUCGGGAUCGCGGGAAAGGUUUCGCCUUGAGCUAGCUAGCGAGGGAUUGGCGAUUGGUGGUCCAUCUCUCUUUUGUUUUUUCUUCGGAGAGGUUGUGAGAGUUUUGUACCUUAUUAUAGAGACCACCCUACUGUUGUAUCUUGAGACUUGUGAUGUAUUAGUUUUAUUAUGUUCUAAUGGUUUAGUCUCUUUUUCUUUCCUUUUUAUUUCCGCUUGUUGAUAGAACUUAGCUGCAUACUUGCUCUGAUAUCGUUAGUUAUUGUUUAUUUUAUCUUUCAUAUCACUUUGUUGUAGACGCCUUAUAUGUGCAGGCAUAUGGCGGGUCUGGGCACGCACCGGGCAGGGCCUAUGCCGGGUCCCGGGGCGUGACACACUAGGUCCAAUGUCAUUUCCUUCUAGGUCCACUUGAACCUAGGUUCAAUGUCGCUAUAUUCAUAACCUAGGUUUACUUGACUCUAAGUUCAAUUCUCAACCUAAGUUCAAUAUAUUAGGUUUAAUUGCACCCUUGACCGACCUAUGUUUAUUAACACUAGGUUAAAUGCCACUCAAUCUUUCCUAGGUUCAUGACACUAGGUUCAUAUCAUUCAUGUUCAACCUAUGUUCAAGACACUAGGUUAAAUGCCACUCGAUCUAAAAUAUAUAGAUUGUCCAAUCGAGCCUUACACAUUAGUAUUUUUCCUUUGCCAUGUUCUCUACUCACUCUAGAGUUAACAAUCCAGUCACAUGCACAUAUGCAUUCUAGCAUCUCUAUAUCAUAUCAUAUGCAUUCACUUAGCAUUUCUAUAACAUGCAACAUGCAUCCUCUUUAGCAUUUUACAUUAUGUAAUUAACAUGCAUUCUCUUAGUGUUAACUACAUGCAUCAUCUAGCAUUUCCUCAUUGUAUCAACAUACAUAUUUCAUUGGUAGGUAUCAACAUCAAGCAUAAGAUUCAUGCAUCUACAUUAUCUCUUGCAACCUACCACUACACAUGUAUGCAACAAUAGUAACC